rnacentral:rRNA from 1 species
GCGGCGGAUGGGUGAGUAACACGUGGGCAACCUGCCUGUAAGAUUGGGAUAACUUGCGGAAACGUGAGCUAAUACCAAAUAAAGCUUCAUAUCACCUGAUGUGAAGAUGAAAGAUGGCUCCGGCUAUCACUUACAGAUGGGCCCGUGGCGCAUUAGCUAGUUGGUGGGAUAAAAGCUUACCAAGGCAACGAUGCGUAGCCGACCUGAGAGGGUGAUCGGCCACACUGGGACUGAGACACGGCCCAGACUCCUACGGGAGGCAGCAGUAGGGAAUCUUCCGCAAUGGACGCAAGUCUGACGGAGCAACGCCGCGUGAGUGAUGAAGGUUUUCGGAUCGUAAAACUCUGUUGUUAGGGAAGAACAAGUACCGUUCGAAUAGGUCGGUACCUUGACGGUACCUAACCAGAAAGCCCCGGCUAACUACGUGCCAGCAGCCGCGGUAAUACGUAGGGGGCAAGCGUUGUCCGGAAUUAUUGGGCGUAAAGCGCGCGCAGGCGGUCCUUUAAGUCUGAUGUGAAAGCCCACG